ACACAAUAAAUGUGUGAAGGACAGUAUGGCAUCACCCAUUCUUUCUAUAAAUGUGGACUUCACACACUUGCUGCACUAGCUCGAAGAUGGAAUUGAUAGGUCACCGUGUAGUUGCUCUGGAAAGUGUGGUGUCAAACUUGAUGUAGAUGGGUGUAGCAAUGGGAGGCACAUGGAAUAUGUGUAGUGUGACCAUUUUACCUAGCCUCUGCCUGAACGAGGAGCCUUGCUUCCAUGCAUCAUAUAGNNNNNNNNNNNNNNNGGUUCAGCAUUUCUAUCUUGAACAGUGACAAGCCGAACAAUACUGAUGUCACCUACAACAUGUCUAUGUUGUGCGGCACUAGCAUUAUGUGGAAACCAUACUGGAUGGUGGACAACUAAACAAGACCACCGGCUCAGCACCCACCUUGCAAUGUCGCCAUUUUGCGAUGGUGCGCUAAUAUAUUGUGGCAGCCAUAUUAACGUGAUUACUACUUGAUUUAGAUUUAGGCCCAAGUUUUGCCCUUCUAGCACAACCAGGUUGUCCGUUGGGCUCCUGGCCUAGUCGUACGUUUAAGAAGUUGUUGUAUUAGCAAGCACUGCUACACUAGUAUCAAGUA
rnacentral:lncRNA from 1 species